rnacentral:SRP_RNA from 1 species
GGUGUGCGCCUAUAGUUCCAGCUACUCGGGAGACUGAGGCUGGAGGAUCGCUUGGGCCCAGGAGUUCUGGGCUGUAGGGUGCUAUGCCGAUUGAGUGUCUGCGCUAAGUUCGGCACCAAUAUGGCGACCUCCCGGGAGUGGGGGACCACCAGGUUGCCUAAGGAGGGGUGAACUGGCUCAGGUUGGAAGUGGAGCAGGUCAAAAGCCCCAUGCUGAUCAGGUAUCUCAUUCAUCAUGAUACUAGUGAAAGAAUUAAUUUUCACUCAAGUAUGUCAGUGCGUCUCUG